UCGACGCGAGCGCAAGCUCUCGCCCACUGGGCCCUCCGUCCUGGCUGUUUUUCGUGACUGGGGAACUUGAAGAAAGAAAACUUGGAUUUUCCAUCACUAUCUGUCAUCCAAUGAUGAUUUCUACAAGUCCCAGCACUACACCACUUCAUCAUCUUCAAAGUAUUGUAACUAACAAGUCGUAUCUGCUAAGGCCUCCUGUGACGCCUUCAGCUGACACACCAAAUCCAAAUGAACCGGGAUGAGCUCAAGAGGAAAUACUGUGUGUUGUCACUUCUGUUCUUUUGACUUAGUGGGCAGUGCUCACACACACAGACCUGAUGCAAGUCUGACAGAUGGCCAGAGGAAAUUACGUCCGUGCCAAGCGCCCUGCAUCCUAACUGCCCCUGCUCCCCUCUGCUAUUACCACUAAAUGAGUCAUAGUGUUUUUCCCUGCAUGCUUUGUGUAAAAGGUGACUGUAUCACAGGGACUGUCAGCAGGAGCCGUCACAAUGCAGCAUGCCACGACGUCGUGGCACAGGGCCGUGUCAGAGUCUGGUCCAGGAGCUCGGGGCCUGCAGAUAAUACCUGUCAUUUCAUAUUAUGCAUACAGUGUGACACAAAGUGUGAGGAGCUGCAGCAACCUGGCAUGUGCAGUAUAUGGGAGUAGGUGUUGGGGUUUGCACGUGUUUUGGAAAGAGGAUUUAGUGUGAGAUUUGUUGUUUUGCUACAUUCCAACAGAAACAUUCUAAUGAACAUACUGUACAGAAUUAAAAAACAUUUCUGUCAACAACACCAAUUUUUUGGGUGGGAUGAUAAUGGUUGGGCGUACUCUCUGAGUUAUAUGUAAUGCUGUCAAAUGGCACUCUAAAGCAUUUGUUUCCAGCAUAUUUGCACUUUGUGUUACAUAUUUAUGAGAUUUUAUGGUCUGUGUUCUUUGUUAUACUUUCCUGUCAGACAAAUGUCUCCUUGGGGACAAUAAAGGCCAGGAACUGAGGUAAAUACCUUUUUACAAACCACGUUAAAGCCUCUUUUUUCAUUAAUAAUAAAUGUAACAAACUGUAGGUAACAAGAUUGCAGAAGACGUGAACGUGGGAAGGGGGAACA